ensembl:lncRNA
CCUACAGAGUUUGAGAAGACUGAGGUGCCAUUGAGAAGAUCUUCUAGAGAUAGAACAGGUCCCAAAAAGCUAUCAGAUUCAAAUUUAGGGAACCCUUUAGUUACAGUUAUGCACUCAAUUUUAACUGGGUUAGAUAAAGCUUUCUCUCAAACUCGUACUCUCUCAGUUAUGUGUUUUAACUGCAUAUCAUUAUUGUCCAGCAGAUGGCAGUAGUGGUGCUACAGAGGAGUGAAACCAAUACUCAGAAAUGAGUAGAAUAAUAAUAAAAAAGCGGGAGUGUGCUGAGCUCUACAUGAGGAAAUAACCACAGUGUUAAAUUUAAAAAAUAAGGUUUUAGAGCUAUUUUGCUAGUUUCUACACAGAAAUCAUAUUUUAUACGGCAUCACGAGGGAAGAGGCAUUUUAGUACUGAAGAGGAUAUGUGGAUUUUUCUAUUUUCUCCGGUUGUUUUUUUGUAUGCAUGAUUUGAUACGGCCAUUGGAUUCACCGCUAUUGGACAGACAGAAGCACGGCGAAAGAGCAGAGUGUGCGAGGAGUCCUUAUUAUCAGAAACUGUUACAUUUGAUGUGUCUUCCUUUCAUCUCACAAAUAAGCGCUGGAGAUCUCACCACACUAAAAAAUAACACACUACCCGGCACAGUAUAGAGUUGAGUUUUCUUUAAACUCUCUCAAUGGCACACAAAAGGAAGAUGAGAAGCUGCAUCCUAAUGUACACAUAUCUGCUGGUGAUGCCGUCUGGACGGGACGCUCUCUCGUGCUGCAAAAGAGAUUUCGUCAACGGCUCGUCCUCCUUUGAGCUGAGUGACUGUCCAGACCCGGCCUGUGACACGCACUGGAGUGCUGACGAUAUAGUGGUGGUUGAUGAGACCGGAGGGGUGGACGAGUCCAGAGUUCAUUAUGCAGGACCCAAGACCCUCAUUCUGAGAGGAAAACACACUCGUGUUAUUUUCCAGAUGGACUGUGCUUCACUGAAGCACUCUGUGGUAAUGCUUUGUAAGGAUCUCUGUCUGUCUUCAGAAGAAUUCAGCCCGGCUCCUGGACAAUCGCUCCACACACGCCGUCCAGAUAACGCUGCACACAGGAGCACUUAUGAUGGCAUCUUCAUCUUCCUGUCCAUCAUCAUCUUCAUUUUUGCCACCUAGUUUUAUUGGCUCGUUUCUGUGUGUUUCCUGUUGACGACUUUGGGUUCUGCAUCGUGGAGAUGAAACCCAAAGAUGAACCGCAAAAACACCACACAUGGAAACAGAUCAGAACAGAAAUAUAUCCGUCUGCUUAUAAAAUGACAGCAAUAACUAACAAAUCUGAUUAUGUCUGAUUAUGAAUCUUCACAAUGUUUGGUCAGCUUCAGUAACUGAUAAACUGUAGCUGUAUUCAUAGGCAAUUUUCACAAAAACAUAAGAUUUUAAAAUGAAAAUUAAUAAAAACUUUAGUAAUAUGAUCA